GACGUAGGGCGCGAGCGUUGUCCGGAUUUAUUGGGCGUAAAGAGCUCGUAGGCGGCUUGUCGCGUCGACUGUGAAAACCCGUGGCUCAACCAUGUGGUCUGCAGUCGAUACGGGCAGGCUAGAAUUCGGUAGGGGAGACCGGAAUUCCUGGUGUAGCGGUGAAAUGCGCAGAUAUCAGGAGGAACACCGGUGGCGAAGGCGGGUCUCUGGGCCGAUAUUGACGCUGAGGAGCGAAAGCGUGGGGAGCGAACAGG
rnacentral:rRNA from 1 species